GACGAACGCUGGCGGCGUGCUUAACACAUGCAAGUCGAACGUGAUUUUUAUGGAAAUUCUUUCGGGAAUGGAAAUGAAAUGAAAGUGGCGAACGGGUGAGUAACACGUGAGCAACCUACCUUACACAGGGGGAUAGCCGUUGGAAACGACGAUUAAUACCGCAUGAGACCACAGAAUCGCAUGAUAUAGGGGUCAAAGAUUUAUCGGUGUAAGAAGGGCUCGCGUCUGAUUAGCUAGUUGGAAGGGUAAAGGCCUACCAAGGCGACGAUCAGUAGCCGGUCUGAGAGGAUGAACGGCCACAUUGGAACUGAGACACGGUCCAAACUCCUACGGGAGGCAGCAGUGGGGAAUAUUGCACAAUGGGGGGAACCCUGAUGCAGCGACGCCGCGUGAGCGAAGAAGGUUUUCGAAUCGUAAAGCCCUGUCCUAUGAGAAGAUAAUGACGGUAUCAUAGGAGGAAGCCCCGGCUAAAUACGUGCCAGCAGCCGCGGUAAUACGUAUGGGGCGAGCGUUGUCCGGAAUUAUUGGGCGUAAAGGGUACGUAGGCGGUUUUUUAAGUCAGGUGUGAAAGCGUGAGGCUUAACCUCAUUAAGCACUUGAAACUGGAAGACUUGAGUGAAGGAGAGGAAAGUGGAAUUCCUAGUGUAGCGGUGAAAUGCGUAGAUAUUAGGAGGAAUACCGGUGGCGAAGGCGACUUUCUGGACUUUUACUGACGCUCAGGUACGAAAGCGUGGGGAGCAAACAGG
rnacentral:rRNA from 1 species